UACGAAGGGGGCUAGCGUUGCUCGGAUUGACUGGGCGUAAAGGGCUCGUAGGCGGCCAACUAAGUCAGACGUGAAAUCCCUCGGCUUAACCGGGGAACUGCGUCUGAUACUGGUUGGCUUGAAUCCGGGAGAGGGAUGUGGAAUUCCAGGUGUAGCGGUGAAAUGCGUAGAUAUCAGGAGGAACACCGGUGGCGAAGGCGGAUCUCUGGGCCAUUACUGACGCUGGAGGAGCGAAAGCGUGGGGAGCGAACAGG
rnacentral:rRNA from 1 species